AGAAACACUCGGAUAUUUUCCUUUGACAAAGAACCUUUAGUUAUACUGUUUGAAAUCUCUUCAGCAAAAGUUACUUUCCAUCUUUGAGUGUUCUGUGGAGGAACAAUCCAACACCAAAUGGGUGAAGGAUGGGCAGAACCAGCUACAGCUGAACAUGGUCAUGACAAAAACUGCAAUGAAUUGACCCCCCCCCCGGAGCUGAACAGCUUGCUCAUACACUUCUGGAUGAGAAAAAUAAAGAUAGAACAUUAGAAGAGGAGGAGGAGGAGGAGGAGAACAGUGACUCCACACUGGUCCAGAGCAAGCUUGUGAAGAAAUCCAAGCAGGGUUCAGCAACUGGAACUGUUGGCAGUCUCCAACCUGACAAUGGAGAGAAUGUUUUCGCUAAAUCCUGCUACCCUGCUCCCAGAUGUGGACUCCGCUUUAACUGUUAAGCAUGCUUGUCUUCAACUCAUUCAGCUGACUGAAACCCCUAGUCCAGAUCUUAAGGAUGUGUUUUUGGAAAACGCAGACUAUGUUCUCCCAGCCACUCUGUGCAAAGUAUUUCCCUGGAUUGUUUUUACGAAGGCGCCUCCGAUACUUGGGACAAAAGGCAACCCUAGGAGACUCAGUCCCUUGUGAGGAACAAGUCCAUCCCUUUGAGCCGGGGGAUUACGUCUGAGUAAAGAACGCUAGCCCCUUCGUGGGGGGGGAAUCCUUACUUGGUCCUGUUAACUACACAGGCAGCACUAUUCCCAGAAGGAAAAAAGUAUUGGAUCCAUCACACUCAUGAAAAGCCCACGGUGACCAGUGGUGACACAUACCUAGUGAGGAUUCGAUUACGGCACAUUGGUCUGCAGGAGUGGAAAGUAGCUGACCGGGGAACAUCAAUAUCUCACAAUUUAAUAAUAACAAAAAAGUCACUCGAGGGGAGGUGGCAAAUUGUUGCUCCAUUUCCUAACUGUGUGUUCCUGCUUCCAUCAAGACCUCAGUACUAAAUGAAGGAACCUGUCUACUCUGCUGCCGCUCCAUAAAUGCUGAGCACCACACCUCCUUACACCGACUUCCCACUGAAACACCUGGAUUCAUCACAGCCACUUCAAGCCUGAUGAUAUUGACCACAGCCCAUGACAUUUUCACUACCUGUUUGCUAGGCAUUCCAUCUACUCCUGGAAGCGUUCGGAAUUAUACUAUGUUUUCAGGUUUUUCCAAUGUUUCCAUGCUGUAUUCUAAUUCUAUCGAAUGGGGGUCAAUAAGAACUAGAAAGGAACCUAAUAUGCUGUCUUUUCGCUUAGGCACAAUAGGUCAUAUAGGUAUCCCAUGUUCUGUUGUAAUAAACUGUUUGAAGAAUUGUAUAAAUCUGACUGAAGAUUCCAACCCAUUGAACUGUACAGAGAAGCAAAAUAUAAGUUUUCUUUAUGCACAUGUCAAACUGCCUGAUGGGUGGUUCUGGCUAUGUGGUUAUGUGGCAUACAACUAGAUUCCAGCCAAUUCUAUGGGGGGUCCAUGUGCUCUUGGGAGAGUUACUUAUGCUUUGCCUCAGAGGGCUUAUCACACAUUAGGCAUUUCACACAGUAGAGCUAGGAGAGCUACUGCUCUUCACGACUUUCCUGCAGAGUGUAAACAUCAUGUGAGAAUCUUAAAUCAAGCUGAAGUAAUUUCCCUUGGCUUAUCCCUGAUAGGGGUGCCUGCCCUAGCCAUCAACGGAAUUGCCAUCAAUAGAUUAGCAUGUGCAAUGAUGAAAAGGCUGAAUUUCACCUCUCAAGCCUUAGACUUGGUUAAUCAAGAAAUUGCCCAAAUACGUGGAGCCACUUUGGAGAACAGGGCUGCUAUUGACUAUUUAUUGUUACGUCACAAUCAUGGCUGCCAAGAUUUUAAGGGCAUGUGUUGUUUCAAUUUAUCUGAUAAUUCUCAUCAGAUUGAAUCUAAAAUUAAUGGUUUAAAGGAUCUUGUG